CUAUUACUGUGGCAAGGAGGGCCACUGGAAGAGGAAUUGCAAGGAUUACCUUACAACCAUGAAAUCAGCAAACGUUGCCAAAGAUUUGUAUAUGAUACAAGCUAACUUAUCAUUAAGUACUUUAUUUUUGGAUUUUUGGAUAUUAAAUACCGCCUAUGGUUCACACCUUUGCAAAUCGUUGCAGGAUUUACAGGAAAUAAAGAGUCUGAAUAAAGGUGACCUUGAGUUGUUCGGCACU
rnacentral:lncRNA from 1 species